rnacentral:rRNA from 1 species
UACGAAGGGGGCUAGCGUUGCUCGGAAUCACUGGGCGUAAAGGGUGCGUAGGCGGCCUGGUAAGUCUGGCGUGAAAGCCCAGGGCUCAGCCCUGGAAGUGCGCUAGAAACUGCGAGGCUCGAGUGCCGGAGGGGAGAGUGGAAUUCCUGGUGUAGCGGUGAAAUGCGUAGAUAUCUGGAGGAAUACCGGUGGCGAAGGCGGCAUCCUGGACCGGCAUUGACGCUGAGGAGCGAAAGCCAGGGGAGCAAACGGG